UGCCCCGUGGUGUAGCGGUAGCACGCCAGCCUUUGGAGUUGGAAUCCCUGGUUCGAUCCCAGGCGGGGCAGCCA
rnacentral:tRNA from 1 species